rnacentral:RNase_P_RNA from 1 species
UACGGUCGCGCCUGGCAAUGGGGAAAGCCCGUCAGGUGAGGAAAGUCCGGGCUUCGCAGGGCAGGAUACCGGAUAACGUCCGGCAGGGGUAACCCUCGGGAUAGCGCAACAGAAAACAACCGCCGCGCAAGCGGUAAGGGUGAAAAGGCAGUGUAAGAGACUACCGCCGACCUGGUAACAGGAAGGGUCAAUGCAAGCCCUAUCCGAAGCAAGACCGAAUAGAAGCAAUACGGCUGCCCGUCGUGCUUCAGGUGGGUCGCUAGAGCCGUCUGGCAACAGGCGGUCCAGAUAGAUGACCGUACAACGACAUAACCCGGCUUAUCGCUCUGCCG